UACGAAGGGGGCUAGCGUUGCUCGGAAUUACUGGGCGUAAAGCGCACGUAGGCGGCUUUCUAAGUCGGGGGUGAAAUCCUGGAGCUCAACUCCAGAACUGCCUUUGAUACUGGAGAGCUUGAGUCCGGGAGAGGUGAGUGGAACUGCGAGUGUAGAGGUGAAAUUCGUAGAUAUUCGCAAGAACACCAGUGGCGAAGGCGGCUCACUGGCCCGGUACUGACGCUGAGGUGCGAAAGCGUGGGGAGCAAACAGG
rnacentral:rRNA from 1 species